CAUGAACAUAUAUGGUGAAUAUAUUCAAUUAACUUAUUUGCACACAGGCAGUGAUGGGUGGGGUUUACAAAAAAGGCUACCUUCAACUUCAAAAUACGUCCCUACCAACGUUGGAAUAACGGUUAAAAUGUUUGCAGCUUUUUCACUAGUUCUACAUAAGCAUAACUAACAGCUACUACUAGUCCAAAUGUAAAACGUUUGCUCUGGUUAAGUGGAUUGGCGGGGAGUAUGAGGGCAAAACCAGCAUUUUGCCGACUGACUUCAUUAGUAAACCUAACGUUAAUGAGGAAGACUUUUUCAACAGCUCUGUAACGUUAUGGGACAUCUUGCUAGAAACUAUGUGGUGGAGGGGAGGAAGGCAGCCAAGAGGUAGUUGGCCGGUUUUCGAGGCCAUGGUGGUCAAAAUGGCUGGUAAGUAGAUCUUCAUUGUAUGCUAAAUUGCAUUUGUCAUGCACAAACAUUUGUCCGAAUUAAAAAUGGUAUUAUUGGUGGAAGCUGGAAGCUAACCUUUGCUAUCUACUUUCUGUAACAUUAACGUUAGCAUAAAUUAGCCAGCGCUAGCUUUAUUUUUUUACACCUGAAAGGGGUUUGAAAAAUAAAUUCACUGAGAAACGUUUGGACAAUUAAUGAAAACGACUUGUAAUGACAGAGUGAAAUACCAAUUGAACCUGUCUCCCGGCCAUAUUUGGUAGUAUAUUUGCCUCUGGCAUGUAGAUUGAUAGGCAUAGAUAGAAGCUAACUUAUGAUUUGUCAUGCAAGACAGAAAAUGUAACGGUUAACAUUACUAGCCUAAGGUGUAGACAUUCUAUGCACUGUGGUUUAGCUAGCUAGCUGCUAUUGUUGCAUCAUGGACAACACUUAGAGCUAACAUUAGCUUUUUUUUUUUUUUUUAGAUUGGAUGUAAUGUGGUAAAGUUAUGUGCUGGAGAGUAUUAGAGUGGACGUGUAGAAAUUGAAGACACAAGUACUGUGCUUAAUUUCAUGGAAAUGGUAUUGCAAGUAACGUGUUUUGUUUUUGUGCACUAUCAAACUACUUUAUCAUGCUUUGUGCACUGACAUUCUUGCAAAACCAUUCACACCCAUUCUAAAUUAUGGAAAUGUAACAGUUGAAUUGUAUUGAAAAGGACCAUGUAUGGCCAUGUAGUGCAUUUGUCCAUUUAGUAGUACAUUUUAGAGAGGCAACACUCGAAAGCUACAUCAAGGACACCUGAGGAUGGACCAGAAGACCUGAGACCAAGACGACCCUAGCCCAACCCAUAGUAUGCUUCACUGACAAAUGUUGAUGCUUCAUCAUCACAUAGACCAAAGGUUUCAGGCUUUUAUUCAACAAGGAGGCACUUAGAGGGAAUGCCUGGACCCUGAGAGGACUAAGACAAUUGAGGCCACCCUGAAGCAGUUCCCAGGCCAGACACUCACUCCAGAUUGCUGGGCCAGGCAAUAAAUGCCAAAGUGACAGAACUGAGGUUCCAUAACAAAAACAAAGAUUUUCAAUAAAAUAGA